AGUCCUCUCUCUCUCUCUCUCUCUCUCUCUCUCAUGUUUGGACUUUGUUCCUUCCUUCAUGGGCAUAUGCCAAUCUCUUACAGAUAGAUAUUCUCUUUUUCUAUCCCAAUCUGUCUUUCUCUAAAACCUCUCUGUCAUCUCAAGAAUUCAUCAAAAAAAAAAGUGGCAUACUCUGUCAUUCAAAACCAUCCACAGAUAAAAAUUCUGAGAAAGGAUAAGAGACGGCAGUGAUUCUUCACAAAUCAUAAUAGCAAUAAUGGAUGUAUUUGAAAAAGAUUACAAUUUAGAGGACACCCAGAACGCAGAGUCCAAAGUUGUGGAUGAUCUAGUAGUGAGCGAGACUGUUAAUGAAGAACAACAGAGUAGUAAUUCGGAGUCUUUGGAGGAAACCAACCCUCAUCAAGGAUUGGUUUCAGAAAAGUUGGAUGCUUUGGAUUCAGUUGGUGAAACUGAGCCUUCUCUUGACUUGACUAAGCCUGUUCAUGAGUUCAGUGAAGAAGCUAAAGGAGAAGACCAAGUUGAGCAUACUGAUGUGGGAAACAAAACUGAGCAGUCCUUGGAUGAGAGCAAUGGAGUUUCCAUAAAUUCUGUUGUGUCCAUUGGAAUUGAUUUGUCAUCGUCGGGUCGGAAUGGUGAUGUUUCUUCUAUUUUAACUAAUGUGGUACCAAAGGGAAUUGAGCAGGACAUGAUUGAGAAUAAGAACAAUGAGGAAGCAACAGAAGAAACAACGAUGUUGCCAGCGUCCGAUGAAAACCCAGAGGAAUCCUCAAACGCUGCUUCUGAUUUGGUUUCAAACCAAAAUCUUGCUAAUGUUUUGCAGUCAGAAGAUCGCAAGGAUUCUAACGUGUCUGAACUUCCAGAAAGCACAGAAAAUCAGCAUUUUAUAGCUGUGACACCGCGGCCUCUGGAACGGACUUUUUGGAGGGGAUGCUGUGGAUUGUUUGAAUUUCUGAGGCAUUCUGAUUAGUAAUAUAAGGUGACUUAAUAGGAUUACAAUAUGCUUCAUCUUCCAAUACCUUCAAGUUCAUUUUAGUGAAUAAAGAUUUAAUAAAUACAUGGCUUUCCAGUUAAAGAGUUUUCUGUACCUCCACACAUGCAUAUGGAUUCCAGAUUGAAUUUCUCUUGUCCCUCAACUUUUAUUUUUGUAUUCCUCAUUUCAGUGAAAAAUUGAGAUUUGCCAAAUUUAUGAUUGAUUGCCUUGCCUGUGUGAAAGCUUGUAUGAUUUUGGUUUUGAAUAAGCUUUAUUGUUGCUAUU